ACCCUUAGAUGUUCUGGGCCGCACGCGCGCUACACUGAUGCAUUCAACGAGUCUAAAACCUGGUCUGAUAGGGCUGGGUAAUCUUUUGAAAGUGCAUCGUGAUUGGGAUAGAUGAUUGCAAUUCUUCAUCUUCAACGAGGAAUGCCUAGUAAACGCAAGUCAUCAGCUUGCAUUGAUUACGUCCCUGCCCUUUGUACACACCGCCCGUCGCUCCUACCGAUUGAAUGAUCCGAUGAAUAUCAUGGAUUGAGAGUACGAACAGGUUCGCUUGUUUCUGCUCCUCGAGAAGUGAAGUAAAUCUUAUCAUUUAGAGGAAGGAGAAGUCGUAACA
rnacentral:rRNA from 1 species